rnacentral:lncRNA from 1 species
AAAAGAAAAAACAGUGCAUAGUAGAGAAGGUAAAAUCGAAUAUUUGUAGCGUAGCAAAAGAGGGCUCAGUUUUGCCUUUCAUCUUCAAGCCCAACACUCGCAUCUCUUGCUGCAUAAUCUACCCAUCACGAUGUAAAAGAACUGCCCUGGUUAUCAUUCAUCAGAAUGACCGUCCAAGUAGCAGAACAUCCAACAUUAGCGAUGAAUUGAACAGGCUGCAAGAGAGGUAAGGGUGUGCUCUAAUUUAGUACCCAUAGGCCACAGCUCUUAAUUGCUCAAGACAGGCUUAUUUCAGCCACGGUCAUCAUCAUUGCCCCUGGUAAGGACUCCAUCUCUUCAUCACACAGUAGCAUGCAUACAUCAUCCAUCCAUCCAUCCAUCAGGCUGGUCGUAGUGGUAAGUAACUUGUCGCAUCCAUGAUAUCCAUUACAGGCAUGCACACAUCCAUCCAUCCAUCCUCUUUAAUUACUUGUCACAUGAUCUUUUUUGCCUAUGUGGCAUGCAUGUUACUACUCCCUCCGUUCCAUAAUUACUGUUGUGGUUUUAGUUCAAAUAGUUCAAUUUGAACUAAAACCUAAGUUACUCCCACUAUGACUAGUCUCAGUCUCAGGAGCUGCUCGUACCUGGCCUCGACCGCCCAGUGUGGACGACGCAUCAGAUAAUGCCUUACGGUUCCCAGCCCACACCACAACCAAAUCCAAGGCAAUGAAAUGGCAGUGGCUGGCAGCACCGUAGAGACGGGGAACUGACGUGGCAGCCACCCGGACAAUGGGGUAGCAAGUCGGCAAUGAGAGCUUUGCUGAUUUGUUUAGGGCUUGAGAGAGAGAGAGAGAGAGAGAGAGAAAGGUGAGGAGGAUUCAUACCGAAUCCAAAACAAAAUGCAACUGAACUGAGCAAAAGAGGGCUCAGUUUUGCAUUUCAUCUUCAAACCAACACUCACACCUCUUGCUGCAUAAUCUAUCCAUCGCAGUGUAAGAGAACUGCCCUGGUUAUCACUCAUCAGAACGACCAUCCAAGGCACAGAACAUCCAACAUCCGCGAUGAAUUGGACAGGCUGCAAGAGAGGCAAGGGUGGGCUAAAGAGUAACUCCAACGCAGAUACCAAUUUUCUUGCACUGUUUAGUCCCACCUCGCCAAGGCUGUCUUGAUUGCUCAAGACAUGAUUAUUUCAGCCACAGUCAUCAUCAUCGGCAUCGCCCCUAGCAACAUAACCAUGAAUCCAUACAUAUAUGCAUGCAUACAUCCAUCUAUCCAUCCAUCCUGCUCAGGAGUUGCUCAUACCUGGCCUCGACCGACCAAAACUCCGGCUCCGACGACGCAUCAGAAGACACCGUACGGUUCCCAGCCGACGGGCACAACCAAAUCCAAGGCAAUGGGACGGCGGUGGCAGGCAGCACCGUAGCGGUGGGGAACUGAACUGACGCGGCGUACAUCCGGACGAUAGGUCAGUCAGCGAUCCGGCAACAAGAGCUCGCCUGAUUUGUUUUAAAAAUAUACUCCCUCCGUUCGGAUCAAGUGUCGUGGUUUUAGUUCACGACACAUGAAUGCAUCCAUUCAUCCAUCCUUCUCAGGAGCUGCUCAUACCUGGCCUCGACCGACCAAACCUCCCGCACGGACGACGCAUCAGACGUCAUCCUACGGCCCCCAGCCCACGCCACAACCGAAUCCAAGCCAAUGGAAUGGCGGUGGCUGGCCGCACCGUAGCAGCGCUGGGUCAGCGAUCCGGCAACGAGAGCUUGGCUGAUUCGGUUUAGGAUUUACUGGUGUGAACUCUAAGCGCGCGCGCGCACAGAGUGAGCGAGUGUGUGAGAGUCUGAGAGAGAGAGAGAGAGAGAUGGGGGGACCGUACCGGAUCCAAAGCAAAACGCAGCCAAGCUGCGAGAAAUCCAUCGACGGCGGCUCAGAUCCCGCGCCGGCCCGACCAAGCCCUCGACCGCAGCGCGCCAUGGGCCCCGCCGCUCGGUCCCCAGCCCGCACGGCCGCAGACGCCUCCCGCAUCCAUCCAUCCUCUUUAAUUACUUGCCAGUCAUUUUUGCCUAUGUGUCAUGAAUGUUACUACUCCCUCUGUUCCAUAAUUCAGUUACUCCCACUAUGACUAGUCUCAGUCUCAGGAGCUGCCCAUACCUGGCCUCGACCGACCAAACAUCCUGGUGUGGACGACUCAUCAGACAACGCCUUACGGGACCCAGCCCACGCCACAACCAAAUCCAAGGCAAUGGAAUGGCAGUGGCUGGCAGCACCGUAGAGACAGGGAACUGACGUGGCAACCACCGGGACGAUGGGUCAGCGAGUCGGCAAUGAGAGCUUGACUGAUUUGUUUUAGGGGUUGAGAGAGAGAGAGGUGAGGAGGAUUCAUACCGAAUCCAAGACAAAAUGCAACUGAACCGAGCAUAUGUAGCGUAGCAAAACAAGGCUCAGUUUUGCAUUUCAUCUUCAAACCCAACACUCACAUCUCUUGCUGCAUAAUCCACCCAUUGCCAUGUAAGAGAACUGCCCUGGUUAUCACUCAUCAGAAUGACCAUCCAAGGCAAAGAACAUCCAACAUUGGCAAUGAAUUUGACAGGCUGCAAGAGAGGCAAGGGUGGGCUCUAAGGCCAACUCCUUUUUUCUGGCACUGUUUAGUCCCACCUCGCCGAGCUGUCUUGAUUGCUCAAGACAUGAUUAUUUCAACCAGUCAUCAUCAUCGGCAUCGCCCCUCCUUUUUUUCCAAAAAGGAGGUUGAACCCCCGAGCAACAUGACCAUGAUAUCCAUACAUAUAUGCAUGCAUACAUCCAUCUAUCCAUCCAUCCUGCUCAGGAGUUGCUCAUACCUGGCCUAGACCGACCAAAACUCCGGCUCCAACGACGCAUCAGACAACACCGUAAGGUUCCCAGCCCAUACGCACAACCGAAUCCAAGGCAAUUGGACGGCGGUGGUAGCGGUGGGGAACUGACGCGGCGGACAUCCGGAAAAUAGGUCAGCAAUCCGGCAACGAGAGCUCGCCUGAUUUGUUUUAAAAAUAUAAUCCGGCAACGACACAUGAAUGCAUCCAUUCAUCCAUCCUUGUCAGGAGCUGCUCAUACCUGGCCUCGACCGACCAAACCUCCCGCAUCAGACAUCAUCCUACGGCUCCCAGCCCACGCCACAACCGAAUCCAAGGCAAUGGAAUGGCGGUGGCUGGCGGCACCGUAGCAGCGCUGGGGAACUGAGGCGGCAACGAGAGCUCGGCUGAUUCGGUUUAGGAUUUACUGGUGUGAACUCUAGGCGCGCGCGCGCACAGAGUGAGCGAGUGUGUGUGAGAGUCUGAGAGAGAGAGAGAGAGAGAGAGAGAGAGAGAGAGAGUGAGAGAGAGAGGGAGAUGGGGGGACCGUACCGGAUCCAAAGCGAAACGCAGCCAAGCUGCGAGAAAUCCAUCGACGGCGGCUCAGAUCCCGCGCCGGCCAGACCAGGCCCUUGACCGGAGCACCGCUCGGUCCCCAGCCCGCACGGCCGCGGACGCCCCCCGCAUCGGCGGCAGCCCCGAGGGGCCUCCAAGCCGAUGCGCGACGGCGCGGCGAGGGGGGCUGGCCCCGAGGAGCGGCGG